rnacentral:rRNA from 1 species
UCAGUGAAUCAUCGAAUCUUUGAACGCAUAUUGCGCCCAGUAGUAUUCUACUGGGCAUGCCUAUUCGAGCGUCAUUUCAACCCUUAUGCCCUGUAGCAUAGCGUUGGGGUUCUACUCCUCCGGGAGCAGUCCCCUAAAACCAGUGGCGGUGUUCGGUACACUCAUAGCGUAGUAAUUCUUUCUCGCUUCUGACGUGGCCCGAAUCUUCGGCCGUAAAACCCCCCUAUUUUUCUAUGGUUGACCUCGGAUUAGGUAGGAAUACCCGCUGAACUUAAGCAUAUCAAUAAGCGGAGGAAAAGAAACCAACAGGGAUUGCCCUAGUAACGGCGAGUGAAGCGGCAACAGCUCAAAUUUGAAAUCUGGCCCUCGGGUCCGAAUUGUAAUUUGUAGAGGAUGCUUUUGGCGCGGUGCCUUCUGAGUUCCCUGGAACGGGACGCCAGAGAGGGUGAGAGCCCCGUACGGUUGGCCACCUAGCCUCUAUAUAGCUCCUUCGACGAGUCGAGUAGUUUGGGAAUGCUGCUCUAAAUGGGAGGUAAAUUUCUUCUAAAGCUAAAUACCGGCCAGAGACCGAUAGCGCACAAGUAGAGUGAUCGAAAGAUGAAAAGUACUUUGAAAAGAGGGUUAAAAAGCACGUGAAAUUGUUGAAAGGGAAGCGUUUGUGACCAGACUUUUUCCAGGCGGAUCAUCCGGUGUUCUCACCGGUGCACUUCGCCUGGUUUAGGCCAGCAUCGGUUUCCGCAGGGGGAUAAAAGCGGGGGGAAUGUAGCUCCUCCGGGAGUGUUAUAGCCCCUCGCAUAAUACCCUUGCGGGGACCGAGGACCGCGCU